UGCCAGCAGCCGCGGUAAUACGAGGGGUGCAAGCGUUGUUCGGAAUCACUGGGCGUAAAGCGUUUGUAGGCGGUUUGCCAAGUCUGAAGUGAAAGAAUGAAGCUCAACUUCAUCCACGCUUCAGAAACUGGCAAACUAGAGAAUGUUAGGGGUAAGCGGAAUUUCCAGUGUAGCGGUGAAAUGCGUAGAUACUGGAAGGAACACCAGAGGCGAAGGCGGCUUACUGGGACAUUUCUGACGCUGAGAAACGAAAGCUAGGGUAGCGAAAGGGAUUAGAUA
rnacentral:rRNA from 1 species